UGAAGCAGUCAUGCGUUUCAGUUUGAAGA
rnacentral:sRNA from 1 species